CCUGCAUUGGAAGUGCGGAGUCUCAACCGCUGGACUGCCAGAAUUUGGAGGCCCUACCAAGAUAGCUCAACUCAUGACAGCCUACCAGAGUGAAGCAAGAACAGCUCUGAGUCAAGUUAUACCACAUCAAGUAUGACACUGAAAACGUGGAGAGGAAGUUUGGAGCCAGAGUACUGGAUUUCCCUGUAGUUUGGGCAAUUACGUCGAAUGUCCCUACCCCUGCCACUCCUGUAAGCGCCUGGAAAGGUCAUUUGAUGUUGGAAGGAUGUCAUAGGACUGGAGAAAAGAUGAUAUGAUUGUCUAUGUGGAAAACCCCAAAGAAUUGACCAAAAAACUCCUGGAACUAAUAAGAGAUUUUAGCAAGGUUGCAGGAGA